rnacentral:misc_RNA from 1 species
UCAGAGUGCUAAAACUCUCAAACCCAUGUGAAUUCUACCUGAAAAGUUGCUUUGGCAGACGGCCUCGGGGGGUCAAUUGCCUAUUUUAUAGGUGUCUGCCAGAGGUCUAUUAGAUUCUUCCGUCAAGUGAAUCUCUGAGUAAAGACAAAUAAGUUA